CCUACGGGCGACAGCAGUGGGGGAUAUUGCACAAUGGGGGAAACCCUGAUGCAGCGACGCCGCGUGGGUGAAGAAGUAUUUCGGUAUGUAAAGCUCUAUCAGCAGGGAAGAAAGUCGACGGUACUUGACUACGAACCCCCGGCUAACUACGGGCCAGCAGCCGCGGUAAUCUGUAGGGGGAGAGCGUGAUCCGGAUUCACUGGGUGUAAGGGGAGCGUAGCCGGCCGGGCAAGCCAGGAGUGAAAGCCCGGGGCCCAACCCCGGGACUGCUCUUGAAACUGUGCGGCUGGAGUGCGGGAGGGGCAAGCGGAAUUCCUGGUGUAGCGGUGAAAUGCGUAGAUAUCAGGAGGAACACCAGCGGCGAAGGCGGCCUGCUGGACCGCAACUGACGUUGAGGCUCGAAAGCGUGGGGAGCAAACAGGAUUAGAUACCCCUGUAGUC
rnacentral:rRNA from 1 species